rnacentral:misc_RNA from 1 species
GAAAGUAAAAGUCGUAACAAGGUUUCCGUAGGUGAACCUGCGGAAGGAUCAUUAAUGAGUUGUCAUGGGGUUCGAUGCUGGCAGCCAGUUUUUGGAUGCAUGUGCUUGCCCUAACAAUCAUCUUCUUCCAAACACCUGUGCACAUUUUUGAGGGAGUCUUGAGUUGGUUGCCGCUCUUGGGUGAUUUUCUCACAUUCCCUUAAAUCAUUAUACGCUAUUAACAAUGUUGAACGUGCUCUGUGCCGCAAGGCCAUUAAUAUAAUACAACUUUUAACAACGGAUCUCUUGGCUCUC